rnacentral:rRNA from 1 species
GACGAACGCUGGCGGCGUGCCUAAUACAUGCAAGUUGAGCGCUGAAGGUUGGUACUUGUACCAACUGGAUGAGCAGCGAACGGGUGAGUAACGCGUGGGGAAUCUGCCUUUGAGCGGGGGACAACAUUUGGAAACGAAUGCUAAUACCGCAUAAAAACUUUAAACACAAGUUUUAAGUUUGAAAGAUGCAAUUGCAUCACUCAAAGAUGAUCCCGCGUUGUAUUAGCUAGUUGGUGAGGUAAAGGCUCACCAAGGCGAUGAUACAUAGCCGACCUGAGAGGGUGAUCGGCCACAUUGGGACUGAGACACGGCCCAAACUCCUACGGGAGGCAGCAGUAGGGAAUCUUCGGCAAUGGACGAAAGUCUGACCGAGCAACGCCACGUGAGUGAAGAAGGUUGUCGGAUCGUAAAACUCUGUUGGUAGAGAAGAACGUUGGUGAGAGUGGAAAGCUCAUCAAGUGACGGUAACUACCCAGAAAGGGACGGCUAACUACGUG